rnacentral:rRNA from 1 species
UGGGGAAUAUUGGACAAUGGGCGCAAGCCUGAUCCAGCCAUGCCGCGUGAGUGAUGAAGGCCUUAGGGUUGUAAAGCUCUUUUGUCCGGGAAGAUAAUGACUGUACCGGAAGAAUAAGCCCCGGCUAACUUCGUGCCAGCAGCCGCGGUAAUACGAAGGGGGCUAGCGUUGCUCGGAAUCACUGGGCGUAAAGGGCGCGUAGGCGGACUUUUAAGUCGGAGGUGAAAGCCCAGGGCUCAACCCUGGAAUUGCCUUCGAUACUGGGAGUCUUGAGUUCGGAAGAGGUUGGUGGAACUGCGAGUGUAGAGGUGAAAUUCGUAGAUAUUCGCAAGAACACCGGUGGCGAAGGCGGCCAACUGGUCCGAAACUGACGCUGAGGCGCGAAAGCGUGGGGAGCAAA